rnacentral:lncRNA from 1 species
UGCUGGGAUUACAGGCAUGAGCCACUGUACCCAGACUUGUUAGUUUUCAAAAUUCACUUAACUUCCUUUAAGCAUAAAAGGGAAUUUAUUGGAAGAGUCCUGGAGUAUCACACAAAACCCAAGGCCAAGAACUACAGCCAGAGCUACGUGAAGGCCUGGAACCACGAACCCCCUGAAGAUCCUGACGAUCUGGGAUGUGCUGGCUACACCCUGCUCCCCGUCAACCAGGAGCGUUACUGAAGUUACAGUAAAACAAUGUCAGGAGACUGACACAAAAGCAAAUCCUUUCAAAGACUGAUUUUGAAUCCUGAUUGAAGAGAUCAAAAGAGAAUAUAAGAAGUUAGAACUCAUUUCUGGGGCACCACCUCGAUGAAAAAGCUGACAAGUUCCUGCUACCCAGAGCCCUGCAGUUGCCACAGCUCAAUCUCUUCUCAACCUGGUGCCCAGCUUUUCCUGUUGAUUCUGCAACUAGGCCAGUCAUCUUUUCAAAAAUUCCUUUUCUGCUUGUUGACUAUCUCUGCUAUUUGCAACCAGAAGUAUUUAGAUAAAAUAUUUUUAAAAUGUA